rnacentral:rRNA from 1 species
CUUGGUGCUUUGAGCGGAGUGGGUACACCUGAUCCCAUCUCGAACUCAGAAGUUAAGCACUCCAGCGCCGAUGGUACUUGGGCUAGUUCCCCGGGAGAGUAGGCCAGCGCCAAGA